rnacentral:rRNA from 1 species
UACGUAGGGGGCAAGCGUUGUUCGGAAUUACUGGGCGUAAAGGGCGCGUAGGCGGUUCGUUAAGUCCUGUGUGAAAUCCCCCGGCUCAACUGGGGAACUGCACAGGAAACUAGCGGGCUUGAAUCCGGGAGAGGGAUGUGGAAUUCCAGGUGUAGCGGUGAAAUGCGUAGAUAUCUGAAGGAACAUCAGUGGCGAAAGCGACUUCCUGGACCAAUACUGACGCUCAUGUGCGAAAGCGUGGGGAGCAAACAGG